rnacentral:rRNA from 1 species
AGUGAACGCUGGCGGUAGGCCUAACACAUGCAAGUCGAACGGCAGCACCGUAAGAGCUUGCUCUUACGGGUGGCGAGUGGCGGACGGGUGAGGCAUACAUCGGAAUCUACUUUUUCGUGGGGGAUAACGUAGGGAAACUUACGCUAAUACCGCAUACGACCUACGGGUGAAAGCAGAGGAUCUUCGGACCUUGCGCGAUUGAAUGAGCCGAUGUCGGAUUAGCUAGUUGGCGGGGUAAAGGCCCACCAAGGCGACGAUCCGUAGCUGGUCUGAGAGGAUGAUCAGCCACACUGGAACUGAGACACGGUCCAGACUCCUACGGGAGGCAGCAGUGGGGAAUAUUGGACAAUGGGCGCAAGCCUGAUCCAGCCAUACCGCGUGGGUGAAGAAGGCCUUCGGGUUGUAAAGCCCUUUUGUUGGGAAAGAAAAGCAGCAGGUUAAUACCCCGCUGUUCUGACGGUACCCAAAGAAUAAGCACCGGCUAACUUCGUG